rnacentral:rRNA from 1 species
AACGAACGCUGGCGGCAUGCCUAACACAUGCAAGUCGAACGAGACCUUCGGGUCUAGUGGCGCACGGGUGCGUAACGCGUGGGAACCUGCCCUUAGGUUCGGAAUAACUCCCCGACAGGGGUGCUAAUACCGGAUAAUGUCUUCGGACCAAAGAUUUAUCGCCUUUGGAUGGGCCCGCGUUGGAUUAGCUAGUGGGUAGGGUAAAAGCCUACCAAGGCGACGAUACAUAGCUGGUCUGAGAGGAUGAUCAGCCACACUGGGACUGAGACACGGCCCAGACUCCUACGGGAGGCAGCAGUGGGGAAUAUUGGACAAUGGGCGAAAGCCUGAUGCAGCAAGGCCGCGUGAGUGAUGAAGGCCUUAGGGUUGUAAAGCUCUUUUACCCGGGAUGAUAAUGACAGUACCGGGAGAAUAAGCGCCGGCUAACUCCGUG